UAAGGAAUAUUGGUCAAUGGACGCAAGUCUGAACCAGCCAUGCCGCGUGAAGGAUGAAGGUCCUCUGGAUUGUAAACUUCUUUUAUCUGGGACGAAAACGGGAUUUUUAUCUCAAUUGACGGUACCAGAGGAAUAAGCACCGGCUAACUCCGUGCCAGCAGCCGCGGUAAUACGGAGGGUGCGAGCGUUAUCCGGAUUUACUGGGUUUAAAGGGUGCGUAGGUGGGCUUAUAAGUCAGUGGUGAAAUCUCCGAGCUUAACUUGGAAACUGCCGUUGAUACUAUAGGUCUUGAAUUAUCUGGAGGUAAGCGGAAUAUGUCAUGUAGCGGUGAAAUGCUUAGAUAUGACAUAGAAAACCAAUUGCGAAGGCAGCUUACUACAUAUAAAUUGACGCUGAGGCACGAAAGCGUGGGGAUCAAACA
rnacentral:rRNA from 1 species